AGACUUAAAAUAACAAAGAUCAUGGAUUUGUGGUGCAAAAAUAAUAAAGAAAAUAAAUUGCAAUUGAUCAGUGGCAAAAGAUCACAAAGAUGAAAGGAGGUUGAUUUAUAUGAGAUGGUUAUGCUGUUAGGGUUAGAUUUCACCAAGUUCCCUCUCAUGUUUAUAAGAAUUCCUCUUUAUUCACUAAUGCUAACGUCCCUCACGAAAACACUUAAACCUCAUCCCUCGGUCAAUAAGUCUGUUCCUAAUUACCAGUUCAUGCAAUCCCUAGCAUUCCCAGUAAAAAGAAUCAAAACCUAGAGCCCCAGGGCCCUUUAAAUAGUGUCAAACGUGUCCCAGAGCAAGGUCCAGUCCAAAAGAAUCAAAACAGAGCAAAAAACAAGGCCCAGUCCACUAAAAUCGCCGCCCAUGCAUCUAAGGAGGUCGCUCGGGCGAGAAUUGACCUUCAUGUAAGGCCCGGGCGCCGAAAUUUCGCUCAAGCUUCGAGCCCCCGUCGCCCGGGCGACCAACGUCGAUUUUCUGGCGCUUUUGUUGACUUUUCAGCAUUCUAGUUGACUGAUUGACUUUUCCGGUUGACUGACUUUCUGGUUGACUGUUUGACUUUUCUGCAUUUAGCUUUGACUUUUCAGCACCGC
rnacentral:lncRNA from 1 species